GGAUUAGAUACCCUGGUAGUCCACGCCGUAAACGAUGGGUGCUAGGUGUCACGGGCAUUGACUCUCGUGGUGCCGAAGCAAACGCAUUAAGCACCCCGCCUGGGAAGUACGGCCGCAAGGCUAAAACUCAAAGGAAUUGACGGGGGCCCGCACAAGCGGUGGAGCAUGUGGUUUAAUUCGACGCAACGCGAAGAACCUUACCUGGGCUAGAAAACGUAGGAACCUGGUAGAAAUAUUGGGGUGCUCUUCGGAGAAUCUACGGUUAGGUGCUGCAUGGCUGUCGUCAGCUCGUGCCG
rnacentral:rRNA from 1 species